rnacentral:lncRNA from 1 species
GUAUGACAGAGACCUUGAAGAGCCCAUUUCAGGAGCCUAAAGGCAAUGUGGUCCCGAGGGCGGAACCUGGGAAAUCACCCAGCUUCGUGGUGAGCUGCAAACAGGUCACAUGGGGAGUUAUGGACAAAGACAUCAAGCUGGAUUCCGAGAUUUGUGACAAAACAACUGUGGGACUUCAGGAAAGUCACUUCACCUCUUUGGGUCUCAGCAUCUUCAUCUGCAAAAUGAGGAGUUUGAAUUCUCUAAGACAAAAAAUGUCUCAGAAAGACUUGUAGCUGUGGCUAUUGACCAUUGAAGUGGGCUGGAGUAAGAUUAAAACAUUAAAAAAGCAAAACCAACAAAGAAAAACUGUAAUUGUCCUAGAUAGAUCUAAAGUGCUUUUUAGGUCCUCAAUUUCCCUUGAACAGGAAACGGUCUUAGCAAGUUAAGUGUGGACUACUCACUGGUGCGUGUCUCUGAACUCUUUGCACUGGUCCUUGACAAGAUAAAUACAGAAACUGAGAAGUGUUUAGAAACAUUUAAAUCUGCUUGACAUUGCUGUGACAUCCAAGUGAGCAGCAACAUGAGGAGUGGGGCUCACACUGAGUGGGGUGCAGGCUAGUGAGGUGUUGCCGAACUUGUGCGUGGGGGGUGGUGGGUGCUAUGAGCUGUGGACCAGUCAGUUC